rnacentral:rRNA from 1 species
UGGUGAAUUUUGGACAAUGGGCGAAAGCCUGAUCCAGCAAUGCCGCGUGCAGGAAGAAGGCCUUCGGGUUGUAAACUGCUUUUGUACGGAACGAAACGGUCUUUUUUAAUACAAGGAGCUAAUGACGGUACCGUAAGAAUGAGCACCGGCUAACUACGUGCCAGCAGCCGCGGUAAUACGUAGGGUGCGAGCGUUAAUCGGAAUUACUGGGCGUAAAGCGUGCGCAGGCGGUUAUAUAAGACAGUUGUGAAAUCCCCGGGCUCAACCUGGGAAUUGCAUCUGUGACUGUAUAGCUAGAGUACGGUAGAGGGGGAUGGAAUUCCGCGUGUAGCAGUGAAAUGCGGAGAUAUGCGGAGGAACACCGCUGGAGAAGGCAAUCCCCUGGACCUGUACUGACGCUCAUGCACGAAAGCGUGGGGAGCAAACA